ACCCGCUGAAUUUAAGCAUAUCAAUAAGCGGAGGAAAAGAAACCAACAGGGAUUGCCUUAGUAACGGCGAGUGAAGCGGCAAAAGCUCAAAUUUGAAAUCGGCCACCAGGUCGAGUUGUAAUUUGUAGAUUGUAUCUUGAGAGCGGAUUAAAGUCUGUUGGAACACAGCGCCUUAGAGGGUGACAGCCCCGUAAAAUCUAUUCUCAUUGUAAGAUACUUUCGAAGAGUCGAGUUGUUUGGGAAUGCAGCUCUAAGUGGGAGGUAAAUUCCUUCUAAAGCUAAAUAUUGACGAGAGACCGAUAGCGAACAAGUACUGUGAAGGAAAGAUGAAAAGCACUUUGAAAAGAGAGUGAAAAAGUACGUGAAAUUGUUAAAAGGGAAGGGUAUUGAAUCAGACUUGGUGCUGUUGUUCAACUGUGUUUCGGCAUAGUGUACUCAGCAGUACUAGGCCAAGGUGGGGUGUUUGGGAGUGAAAAAGAAGUUGGAACGUAACUCUUCGGAGUGUUAUAGCCUACUUUCAUAGCUCCUCAGGCGCCCCAGGACUGCGCUUCGGCAAGGACCUUGGCAUAAUGAUUCUAUACCGCCCGUCUUGAAACACGGACCAAGGAG
rnacentral:rRNA from 1 species